rnacentral:sRNA from 1 species
GAUAGAAGAACAAAGACUAAGAAUGCCACGUCCUCCCAAAAGCUACCGCUUUCGGUUGUGCGAUGUAUCGCUGCAGCAGCUUUCCUUGUCCUGUGGCAACGUCUUUGUGACCCGCUUCCUGUGGG